GAUACUUUUCUUGUUUUGUAUAGUUUCUAAACUACAAAUAAGAUUUCAAUUAGUACAUUUUAGUCAUUCUACAUAAAAAUUACAAAAUAUAUUUUUAAAUAUUACCUUAAGUUAUGCUGUAUUGUAUUUAUUUAUUUAUCGCUGUGAUUGAGGCACUUAACAAAAACCUAAGCUUACUUCGUCCGAAAGUUUUCUCGAUUGUUUUAAUAUUAUAUCUGCAAUAUUAUUAUUAUCGCACCAUGAAGCCACAACAGAAAAAUAAAAUUAUAAUUGUUAAAAUUAAUAACUAUUAAUGGAAUAAUAAUAUCAACGACAUCGGUACUUCCAAUACAUUUACGUGUAAUCCAAAAUGGGAUGAAAUUAGAAUUGCGGUAUUGCCAAAAAAUUAUGGGCAAUGUUCUUGAAGUUACAAUUUUGAACGGAAAAUUUAAAGGUGAAGUAGUCUCCUGCCAUGAAUCCCAAUGAUCCUUUCAGACUCACACUCACCCAUUCAAUUCAGAAGUCUACAAUUUGCCAUGACUAUAAAUAAGUCACAAGGUCAAACAAUGUCGAUUUGUGGGUUGGAUAUAGAAAAUCCUGUCUUUUCACAUGGCCAACUAUAUGUGGCAUGUUCUCGCGUUAGAAAACCGUCAAGUUUAUUCAUUUAUACUCCUCUGGAAUCGACUGAAAAUAUUAUUCAUCAAUUCGCAACGUUAUUGACUAUAACGAAUUGUUUUUAGAAAAAUUGAUAAAAUAUUAAUUAUAUUAAUAAUAUUUAUUUUA